AGACGUCAAACAUAAAAAAAACUGUUUCAAUCACCUAAAUACAAAAGGCAGUGAAUAUGCAAGAGAUAUUUGUUUAAAUGUAGGAUGUUUACCUCCUUUCUGUCCUGAAAAUCGUUCACCAAUGGACCAUCCUCCCGAACUGUUUACUCCAAACAACCUCUGUGGUUGGGCAUCCUGCUUCGCCCUCAGCCCCUGCUGCUGGUGCUGGACCUGCUCCCGGGUGUGAUUGAUUUCGGUUGCCAGAAAAGACGAAGUGACAUGACACUCUGCGAUGGAUUGGAUCCACACCAUGAGAAACCAGCAGCUGUGCUCUGGUCUCAAGCUGUAGUGUGAACAACCAGCUUUAAUGAAUCGCUGUCACAUGCACCGUUUGGUUCCAGGCAACCAGCCACUAAUCUACCACCGAGCUCCUCUUAUAGCUUAUUAUAGCGCUCCUCUCAGAGAAUGUAUGGAUGUAUCUGAGUGAAAACACCUUUGAAACAGAACCACAUCCCAUGCGGGUAUGCGCUCUGUCUAUGUACAGGAUUUAUAUGCAUGUUAAGACAAGUACAUUUAGAUAAUAUAGUAAUUUUUCAUAUUUGUAGGUGAGUGGA